rnacentral:rRNA from 1 species
GAUGAACGCUGGCGGCGGGCCUAAUACAUGCAAGUCGAGCGAACAGACGAGGAGCUUGCUCCUUUGACGUUAGCGGCGGACGGGUGAGUAACACGUAGAUAACCUACCUAUAAGACUGGGAUAACUUCGGGAAACCGGAGCUAAUACCGGAUAAUAUUUCGAACCGCAUGGUUCGAUAGUGAAAGAUGGCUUGGCUAUCACUUAUAGAUGGACCUGCGCCGUAUUAGCUAGUUGGUAAGGUAACGGCUUACCAAGGCAACGAUACGUAGCCGACCUGAGAGGGUGAUCGGCCACACUGGAACUGAGACACGGUCCAGACUCCUACGGGAGGCAGCAGUAGGGAAUCUUCCGCAAAGGGCGAAAGCCUGACGGAGCAACGCCGCGUGAGUGAUGAAGGUCUUCGGAUCGUAAAACUCUGUUAUUAGGGAAGAACAAACGUGUAAGUAACUGUGCACGUCUUGACGGUACCUAAUCAGAAAGCCACGGCUAACUACGUG